rnacentral:rRNA from 1 species
AUAUUAGACGAGUUGACAUUUUGUUGGGCCCCUUUAUGUAUUCUUAUAGGGACAAUCGGCCGUUUAGGUGAAUGGAGGCAAAAGGCAAUAACAGGUCUGAGAUGCCCUUAGAUGUUCCGGGCUGCACGCGCGCUACACUGACAGAGGCAACGAGUGGGGCCCCUUGUCCGAAAUGACUGGGUAAACUUGUGAAACUUUGUCGUGCUGGGGAUGGAGUUUUGUAAUUUUUGCUCUUCAACGAGGAAUUCCUAGUAAGCGCUAGUCAUCAGCUUGCGUUGUCUACGUCCCUGCCCUUUGUACACACCGCCCGUCGCUACUACCGAUUGAAUGGCUUAGUGAGGACUUGGGAGAGUACAUCGGGGAGCCAGCAAUGGCAACCUGACGGCUCAAACUCUUACAAACUGGUCAUUUAGAUGU